CUGCAGGAAGAGACAUAUGCAGGAGAGAGAGAAGAGGGAGAGUUUCCAAAGCUUUGGAGAAUGAAAAGCCAAGGAGCCAUGUGAAAUCUGGGGCAGAGAGGCCACAGGCCACUUCUACAGAAGUUGCUGACUAUUUAAGAUCGGGCCUUUCUCAGAACCUUCAGUUCUGGAACUCUAAGUUGUUAAACGCAGUGUCAAGUUUCAAAAAACAAUACCAAGAAAAGGAUAGUGGAAGUGAGGACGCCCCAGCUCUGGGAGACGUCCCACGAGCCGACUUUUGUCGGGAGGACCCGGCAGGUGACAGUCAAAGAGAUCUGACUGUGACUUGACUUCGGAGGUCGUGUUCGGCUGCCUAUUUAAGUAUAGGCAUGGACAAGUGUGCUUAGAUGUGUUAGUGUCUGUUGUCUGUAUUCUGUUUCUGUGUUUGGUAUCCCAGAAGCAGCUAAGGUUAAGCUGCAGUUUGGGCCAGGUACUGAAGGUACCAGGCAUCUGUGGAAAUUGGUUAUAGGAUGCUUUGUCUUGGUCUUGUUUGUCUGGUUUGUUUUCUGUGGUAUUGUCGAGUGUCUUUUUGGCUUUUGUUUCGUUUUUGAAUUUGGACUGACGACUGUGUUUGAAAUCUUGGACUGACUGUGUUUGAAAUCAUGAAACUGUUUGCUUUGUUCGUCAUAGAGUUUUACUUGGUCCUCUUGGUGCUUAACUUAAAAGUUAAAAAUAAUUUGCUUGAGAGAAAUUGUUUUCUGCCGGGGAGUUUUGUCUUUCUCUCUUGAGCCUCCUCCCCAAGGAGAGCUGCCCCUUUCUUUACUCCCAUUGUCCAGCCCAGCUGCUGUUAACCGUUGUGUAUGAAGGAUUCCAGGUUAGCGAGUGAUCCGUCUGAAGCAGGCAUUAACAAGAACCUGAAAACUUUACCUUAGAUCCUGAAGAAAAAUUCUCCCUGUUGCUUAAACAUUCACAGCUUCUAAGGAAGGGACAGCACAGAGUAGGAAAAUGUAGGGGCUGAGGGUGGCAAGCAUGCAGGCCUACUAGCAAGCUACAGGCUGCGCGUGGGCAACAGUGCAGCUCUGGCCAAGUCAGCGCAAGAGGAGUUUCAAGGUAAGGAGGCUGGCUGGGGUUGGCACUUUGACAACAAAGAUAGCGUAGAGUUAGUGGUUGUAUUUUGGCCCUGAAAAAAAAAAUUCCAGUUGCUGCCUUCAGUGGCCAGACCUUCAACACUUGCUCACAAAAGGAGAGUGUUCAUUAAGAGAAGUUCUUUAAGGGAGCCUGCCUUAUCUGCUGGCCCUAUUCCAAGAGAGGAGUUGAUCUCCAACACUAAGUAACCUUCCCUGUUAGUCAUCAUUGACAUGGAGAGUGCCUUUGAUCCUAUCCCCACAGCAGCCAGUUCCUGCCCCUGUGGUCAAAAUGCCCCAGGUUGGGGGGCAGAGAAGCCCCUAAAAUAGUUUUAAAGAAUCUGCAACAAACUGUGAAGAACUUUGUUUUGCCAGUCAAAAUUUAGAAUUCAGUCUUUGGCUGUGGCCAAGGUCAGGAUUAAUGUUUUCUUUUCCAUGGGCCUUUAACCCAGUGAGACAGCUUGGUAAAGGACUACUACUACAGUCCUGAUAGCCCCAGGUGAACUGGUUACAAUUCUUUUGUCAGCCACUCUAACACCCAGGUUCUAACGUCUCUCCAUCCUUUUGUUAUUGUUACUGGAAGCCCAGUGCCAUUUAGAGGAUGGGUCUCUUGAGCGAUAAAGCCACUGAGCUGGCACUAAAGGAAGGUACUCCUUAAGGGAAAAUCUAAGUCCAGAGAGAUAGUCGAUAACAGAUCAGCUGCCUCUCUGCUUGCCUUUCUGUUUCACAGGAACAAAGCUUGUGCUUAUUUCUACAACGGCCUUUUUGUCCCAAGAAGGCCUCCUGGUUUAGCUGUGUGACUAAAUGCUAUUUGUCCUCUUCAGUGGACCUCUAUUCUCAAGAUUCCCUUGUUUUCUCACCAUCCCAUUUGAGAUGCUUGUUAGUAACUGUUACAGGUCUUCUUUAUCACCGAGGAAAGACAGAAUCCUACUAGAGGCCAGACACGGAUGGAAGGCCCUCACUUCUGCCUGUUGACUUCAAAACGCCUAAAGGUAGGGAGUGCCAGGUCUGCCGCCAGGCUCCAAGGGUGGGUCUCAGAGGGGCUAGAAAAUGCCCCACCAAUUUGGCUAAAGUAAGAAAAAAGUAUAAAGAAAAAGUUACAGAAACUUGAAGGGUUAAGCUAAGUCACUGAGAGAGUUGUUGUAAGUUGCAGAGAAAAUAAGGUUGAUAUAUGGUUCAGGGUCAGUGCACAAAAGUAGACAGCAACUAAUAGCUGUAGAAGAAGAUACAGGCAGAGAGACUGAGGAAGAGAAAGAGACAAGAGAGGAACAUAUACUGGCCACAGUAGUUAGGGAACCUAGGAAGAUAGUACCUGGCAACAGAAGAGAAUUCCUGGCUAAAGAUCGGUGUGCCUAAUACGAAGAAAAAGGACACUGGGUCAGGGACUGCCCAAGAAAGAACAAGAGGGGACACUGGAGAGCUUCUUGGUCCUAGAGUGCUGGCUAUGUACAGAGAUAGAAGGGAAGUGUGGAUACAGGGACCCAAUGCUCUGUGCUCCUAUGCCCCCACCCCCCAGUGGGUCAAUAUCCAAAGACCUUGAGUGCAAGGGGUUACUGGCAACGAACAAUACUUAUGGACUGCCCGAAGAACAGUGGACCUUGGCGUGGGCCAGGUAACCCACCCACUAGUUCAUGGUCAUCCCUGACUGCCCCUAUCCCUUGCUCAUUAGAAAAUUGCUCUCCAAAAUGGCUUGUGUGGGCUAAAAUGGCUGGGUGAGGCCAUGUGUAUGCAUAUCUACAGACUGUGUAUGUGGAGCUUAAGACCUGUCUCAGUGCACCAGUACCUGAUGCUGGGAGAUGUGUGUGUGUGGCUUAGUGCCGUUCUGCCUGGAACACAUCAUUCCUGCCAGCCGGGCUCUGACAAUUAUCACCCAAUCCAGGACUUAAACUGUGAUAGAGUGGCUGAUAGAGUGUCCCAAAAGAUGGGACCACUGGUCAGCUGCCAUGGACUAGAUUCUCCACCUGUUGGGGGCAAUCUGGUCACCUUGCUGCCCAAUCCUGACCUGGAGCCACCACAGCACAAGUGUCAAGCACUGGCAGAAGCCCAUGGGUGGAGGAAAGACCUCUGCGACUGGCUGAUUGACCCCUGCUGAAAGCCGAGGACCUUGUCCACAGACAGGAACAGUUCUCUUCAUGAAGGUCAGAGAUAAGUGGGUGCUGCCGUGGUGGACAACACAAUGUCAUCUGGGAUGGCUGAACUUCUACCCCCCAGCACAUCAGCGCUGCAGAUGCCUUUACCAUCUCUUGGAUGCCCUGGUGAAGCCAACAACUGCCUACAAGAGACAGCCACUGGGAACUGGGAUUGGACUAAGAGACGGCCUCUACAAUCAUCAAGAAGAUACUGGAAGAAACUUUCCCCCGAUUUGGAAUGCCCAAGGUAAUCUGGUCAGACAACGGCCCUACUUUCGUUGCCAAGGUAAGCCAGGGUGUGGCCAAGUAUUUAGAGGUUGAUUGAAAAUUACAUUAUAUUUACAGACCUCAAAGUUCAGGACAGGUAGAGUAAAUAAAUAAAACUCUAAAAGAGACCCUGACCAAAUUAAAUUGACCAUGGAGACUGGCGCAGACUGGGUGACACUCCUUCCCUCUUGCUCUCUUCAGAGCAAGAAAUAUCCCUUCCAGAUUCAGCUUUACCCCCUUUGAGAUCUUAUAUGGGGCCUCAGAUCCUCUGACUGUAUUAGAUGAUGUUACUGAACCAACACGUCAUAGUAAUAAUGAUUUAUGUGUCAGGCUAAAAGACCUACAGGUGAUACAGAAAGAAAUCUGCUCACAGCUGGCAGCAGCCUAUGCCCCAGGGACCUCCGAGACAUCUCAUCCGUUCCAGGUCAGAGACUGUAGGUACAUACAAUGACACGGAGCCCAGACACUCGAGCCUCGCUGGAAAGGACCGUACCUGGUGCUGCUGACCACCCUGACAGCCGUCAAUUCUCAGCCCUCACCAGCCGCAUACUAGCCGUUGGGGCUGAGAACUGGGACCUAGAGGGACACUCAGAUCUUCAAAAAGCUCCCUAGACUUGCACAUCAGAUAAGUGGAUACAUCAGAGACGUGACUGGGAUGUUGCUAUAAUGCUCACUUGAGGAGUGUGCUUUAGAAACAAGAAUUUCAUGUUUGCCCUGGGUUCCAUCGAGAAAAAUAUAGAGAUAGGCUUGAUUUCUAUUACAAAUGAUGUAACAUUACAUAUGUUAAUACUCCUAACACUUCUUGGGACUGUGCCUCAGGGACCAUAAGUUUAAAAGUUCUAAGAUAGUCAUGACCUUGGUGUAUAGGUUUAGAUAGUGUUCAGAUUGGAAUCCUAAAGACUUUUUAGCUGACCUCCACGAAUACCUAACCUCCCUCUCAGAGGUAGUCCUUCAAAAUAGGAGAAGAUUAGACCUGAUAUUCCUUAAAGAAAGAGGGCUAUGUGCUGCUUUGAGAGAAGAAUGUUGUUUUUACCUCGAUCACUCCGGGACCAUUAAAGAUUCUAUGGCUAAACUUAGGGAGAGGUUGGACAAGAGACGACGAGAACGAGAAACCACUGAUAACUGGUUUCAGAGCUGGUUCGAUAGGUCCCCAUGGCUUACCACCCUGCUGUCAGCCUUAGCUGGUCCCUUGAUUAUCCUCCUCCUUUUGCUCACUUUUGGGCCCUACAUCAUUAAUCGCCUUCUAGCUUUUGUCAGGGAGCGGAUUACUGCUAUACAUGUCCUUAUGUUGAGACAACAGUAUCGGGCUGUAUCGGGCUAUACGGGGUGAAGAGCCUCUAGACGCUAGACUCGUAGUCCUAAGAUUAGGACUAUUCACAAGGAGUAGAGGGGAAUGAAGGGUUAAAAUUUCUAAAAGUUAGUCAUGAACAAAGUCCAGACAUGCCUGAGAGAAUUUGAGAUAGGGCUCACUGGCCCGACUAUCAACUCCCAAGGACACUGGCCAUCUGGAGCCACCCCCUCCCCUUCCUUCACUCCCUGAGGAUGGGUCAUCCCCCUGCUGCAGUGAGAUGAGUUGCCCUGCCCACAUUGCUGAGAUGCUAGAUUACACGUAUGCUUUGUUGAUGUAACUCCGUGCCAAAAGUAACUGUGCACCCUUUGUAUUAGCCAAUUAUGUGUAUUCACACGAAACCCCUGGUUUUCCCUAUAUAAGCUCCUGCCUAGAGAGGCUCGGGGCUUGACUCAAUCUCCUGUGUGAGAUACGUGUCAGCCCGAGAUCUCGUAAAUAAAACUGCCUCUUGUUGAUUACAUCAA